AAUGAACGCUAGCGGCAGGCCUAACACAUGCAAGUCGAGGGGUAACUAGAGUGAUAGCAAUAUUACUUUGGCUAGACCGGCGCACGGGUGCGUAACACGUAUGCAACCUACCUUAUACUGGGGAAUAACUUCGAGAAAUCGGCGCUAAUACCCCAUAACAUUGCGAAGAGGCAUCUCUUUGCAAUUAAAGCUCCGGCGGUAUAAGAUGGGCAUGCGUCCAAUUAGCUAGUUGGUGAGGUAACGGCUCACCAAGGCUACGAUUGGUAGGGGUUCUGAGAGGAUAAUCCCCCACACUGGUACUGAGACACGGACCAGACUCCUACGGGAGGCAGCAGUGAGGAAUAUUGCGCAAUGGACGAAAGUCUGACGCAGCCAUGCCGCGUGCAGGAUGACGGCCCUAUGGGUUGUAAACUGCUUUUGUACGGGAAUAAACCCUUCUACGUGUAGGAGGCUGAAGGUACCGUAAGAAUAAGCACCGGCUAACUCCGUGCCAGCCGCCGCGGUAAGAC
rnacentral:rRNA from 1 species